AGUGUGCUUGCUGGAUCAUAUAGCUAGAUAGACUAUGUUAAGCUUUGUAAGAAAUUGCCAAACUGUCUUUCAAAGUGGCUAUGCCAUUUUACAUUCCUACCACCAAU
rnacentral:pre_miRNA from 1 species